rnacentral:lncRNA from 1 species
CUGCUACUUUUUUGACUACCCCAAUCAAAAGAUUCCCAACAACAUUAUAUUCAAUAUACAUCAUCACAUCAGGGGGAGGGGGUAUUAAUAAAAUUAAAACAAAAAAUAUGUCAAACCUGCAUAAUAUAAAUAUAAUAUUUUACAUACCCUGUCCAACAACAUCAUCUCCUGUUUGAUCUCAAUCAAACAGUACAUACCAAAACAUUACAUAAAACUAAAUUAGCUAAUAAAUAACAAUCCGACAAAGUCUAACUAAUACAUGUUUUAACUGACUACGGAUACAGAGGAUAAUGAAUCAAUGUCCUAUCCUCUUCCUCCACAUUGAGCUCCCCAUUUAACAAGAAAUCAUUCUCCACCGGAAAUUCUGGAACAUAUGGAACCUCUGGAACAUUUUCCUAUAACUCAAACAUAAAAUAUCAGGUUCUGAUGUAGCAAGAUUAUCACAGAAAAUUUGGAGUGUAAAUUUGAGAAAUUCUGCAUUGUACUCAUGUAAAUUUGUUUAUCCUUCCCGACAAGUAAACAGAGGCAGCAAUGAAAAUAGUAUAUAUCUAAUAAAACAUAGCUUAUCAAUUAAGCCACAUCUAAGCUGAAAGCUAAAUUUGGAGUGUGCUGGACCAUGUUGUGUUAGCCAAUUGAAUAUACAUGUUAAGAGGAAAAGUAGACAGCUACACUAGAAGUAAUAUGAAGACUUUACAAAUUUAAGUCAACAUAAAAUACUA